GUGCUUAACACAUGCAAGUCGAACGGAAAGGCCCUUCGGGGUACUCGAGUGGCGAACGGGUGAGUAACACGUGGGUAAUCUGCCCUGCACUUCGGGAUAAGCCUGGGAAACUGGGUCUAAUACCGAAUAGGACCACUUAGCGCAUGCUUUGUGGUGGAAAGCUUUUGCGGUGUGGGAUGGGCCCGCGGCCUAUCAGCUUGUUGGUGGGGUGACGGCCUACCAAGGCGACGACGGGUAGCCGGCCUGAGAGGGUGUCCGGCCACACUGGGACUGAGAUACGGCCCAGACUCCUACGGGAGGCAGCAGUGGGGAAUAUUGCACAAUGGGCGCAAGCCUGAUGCAGCGACGCCGCGUGGGGGAUGACGGCCUUCGGGUUGUAAACCUCUUUCAGCAGGGACGAAGCGCAAGUGACGGUACCUGCAGAAGAAGCACCGGCCAACUACGUGCCAGCAGCCGCGGUAAUACGUAGGGUGCGAGCGUUGUCCGGAAUUACUGGGCGUAAAGAGCUCGUAGGUGGUUUGUCGCGUUGUUCGUGAAAA
rnacentral:rRNA from 1 species